AAUAGAUACCCGGGUAGUCCACGCCCUAAACGAUGUCAACUAGUUGUCGGGUCUUAACGGACUUGGUAACGCAGCUAACGCGUGAAGUUGACCGCCUGGGGAGUACGGUCGCAAGAUUAAAACUCAAAGGAAUUGACGGGGACCCGCACAAGCGGUGGAUUAUGUGGAUUAAUUCGAUGCAACGCGAAAAACCUUACCUACCCUUGACAUGUGCCGAAGCCCGCUGAGAGGUGGGUGUGCCCGAAAGGGAGCGGCAACACAGGUGCUGCAUGGCUGUCGUCAGCUCGUGUCGUGAGAUGUUGGGUUAAGUCCCGCAACGAGCGCAACCCUUGUCAUUAAUUGCCAUCAUUCAGUUGGGCACUUUAAUGAAACUGCCGGUGACAAACCGGAGGAAGGUGGGGAUGACGUCAAGUCCUCAUGGCCCUUAUGGGUAGGGCUUCACACGUAAUACAAUGGCGCGUACAGAGGGUUGCCAACCCGGCGAGGGGGAGCUAAUCUCAGAAAGCGCGUCGUAGUCCGGAUCGGAGUCUGCAACUCGACU
rnacentral:rRNA from 1 species